GACGAACGCUGGCGGCGUGCUUAACACAUGCAAGUCGAACGAUGAAGCGGUUGCUUUCUCUCGUGGUUUAGUGGCGAACGGGCGAGUAACACGUGAGUAACCUGUCCUUUUCUUUGGGAUAACGUCUGGAAACUGCUGCUAAUACUGGAUAUUCAGGCUUCAUCGCUUGGUGUGGUUUGGAAAGGUUUUUUCUGGGAUUGGGUGGGCUCGCGGCCUAUCAGCUUGUUGGUGGGGUGAUGGCUUACCAAGGCUUUGACGGGUAGCCGGCGUGAGAGGGUGACCGGCGAGAUUGGGACUGAGAUACGGCGCAGAGUCCUAAGGGAGGAAGCAGUGGGGAAUAGUGCACAAGGGGCGGAAGACUGAGGCAGGAACGCGGAGGGAGGGAGGACGGACUGAGGGUUGUAAAACGCGUUCGCCUGUGAAGAAGCGGGAGUGAAGGUAAUGGGUAAAGAAGAACCGGCUAACUACGUG
rnacentral:rRNA from 1 species